AUGGAGCUUUAGUUGUAUCUGAAGUCAUCCUCGAGUUUCUCUAAAUAAAAAAGCCAAACUACUCUUCGAGGAUAAGGAGCAUUAUCACAUGGUGUGCAAUGUCAAGGAGGCGCCAUUGAAGGAGCUCCUAACUGAGCAAACUUUUUAUGAUGUUGAUAGAAGCUUGGUGUAUCCUCGAGGUAUGGCAGAUAUCUGUGAAUUGUAUUUUUGUAUUUUUGCUUUUGAGUCUUCAUAGUGUACUGAC
rnacentral:lncRNA from 1 species